rnacentral:rRNA from 1 species
AUAUUACUAAGCGGAGGAGAAGAAAUUAACAAAGAUUGCCUUAGUAAGGGCGACUGAACCGGCAAGAGCUCAAAAUUGGAAUCGGAGAUUCAAAGAAUCUUCGAAUUGUAAUCAGAUCCGCCGAAAUACGUGAGAGCAUUUAAGUACGUCGAAACGUACGCCAUAGAGGGUGAAAGCCCCGUGUAGUGUUCUCACGAAACAGGGGGGUUCUACAAGAGUCGGGUUGCUUGGAACUGCAGCCCUAAGUGGGAGAUAUGAAUCUUCCAAAGCUAAAUAUGGAUGGGAGACCGAUAGCGCACAAGUA